rnacentral:rRNA from 1 species
AGUUGCUAGUAAUCGCGGAUCAGCAUGCCGCGGUGAAUACGUUCCCGGGCCUGUACACACCGCCCGUCACACCAUGGGAGUUGGGAGCGCCCGAAGCCGGUGAGGUAACCGAGAGGAGCCAGCCGUCGAAGGUGAGACCAACGACUGGGGUGAAGUCGUAACAAGGUAUC